ensembl:lncRNA
GCUUAUGUGUCCAAAGCAAAGUCUUGGAGCACACCCCAUGGUGUCCGGCAGACAGCAGGCAGGGCCUGGCAGGGGCUUCACUCCCAGGAGCAGGGGGAGAUUACCACUUAUAGGGGCACUUACAUCAGCUUGACUCAUCAGUUACCAGGGAAACCAGAAGUGGGGACCACCCCUGACUGCCCAUUAGAUAAGAACAACGGGCCUGGGGCAAGUAUGUACGAAGGUUACACCAAGUGGCACACAGGUUUCUUAGUACGCAGUGUGGUGCCCCAAGGAUGAAAGAACAAGGAAAAAACAGUGACCCAGUCCACCUCUCCUAUUCCCCAACAUUAUGAAGUCUGCUUUCAGUCUUCCUCACUCAGAAACUGUCUUUGCUGCAUUCAUCAGUAGCCUCUUCAUUGAGAAAGCAGCUGGGCCCCGUAGAGUCUCUUCACAGGCACGGCUGUUGAUUAUUUCACCUGACAUGCUGCCAUCUAGGCCUCCCCAACAGCACUCUGACCUGGUUUUGCAAGGAGCUUCUCAGACCACUAAACCCCUUUCCCAUGUCAGAGCCUCCUUUUAAGUCCCCCAAACAUAGGAGUUGCUAAGUGUUCUGAUGCUGAUCCCACUGCCUCCCUUCCAUCUAGAAUCUUGCUCCUCAAUGUGGUCUUUCUGGACAAGUAGGAUUGGCUUCCUUGAGAGCCUGUUAGAAAUGCAGACUCUUAGGUCUACCCUGGACUUCCUGUAUCAGAAGCUGCAUUUUAAUUUAGAUCCGCAAGUGACUCAUCUGCACAUUAAGAUUUAAGAGGUGCUGAUCUAUGGCAGCACUAAGAAAGAGAAAUACAAUGCACACCACGUGUAUUUUGAAACUUCUUGUAGCCACAUUUAAAAACAUGAAAAGAAACAUGUGAAAUUAAUUGUCAUCAUGUAG